rnacentral:rRNA from 1 species
CCUACGGGUGGCAGCAGUGAGGAAUAUUGGUCAAUGGGCGCGAGCCUGAACCAGCCAAGUCGCGUGAAGGAUGACUGCCCUACGGGUUGUAAACUUCUUUUAUAAAGGAAUAAAGUGAGGCACGUGUGCCUUUUUGUAUGUACUUUAUGAAUAAGGAUCGGCUAACUCCGUGCCAGCAGCCGCGGUAAUACGGAGGAUCCGAGCGUUAUCCGGAUUUAUUGGGUUUAAAGGGAGCGUAGGUGGGUUGUUAAGUCAGGUGGGAAAGUUUGCGGCUCAACCGUAAAAGUGCAAUUGAUACUGGCAGUCUUGAGUACAGGAGAGGUAGGCGGAAUUCGUGGUGUAGCGGUGAAAUGCUUAGAUAUCACGAAGAACUCCGAUUGCGAAGGCAGCCUACGAGACUGCCACUGACACUGAGGCUCGAAAGUGUGGGUAUCAAACAGGAUUAGAUACCCGAGUAGUC